UAGCUCUGUUGGUUAGAGGGUGGUGCUGAUAACACCAAGGCGGUGGGUUCGAUCCCCAU
rnacentral:tRNA from 1 species